GAUGAACGCUGGCGGCGUGCCUAAUACAUGCAAGUCGAGCGAACGGACGAGAAGCUUGCUUCUCUGAUGUUAGCGGCGGACGGGUGAGUAACACGUGGAUAACCUACCUAUAAGACUGGGAUAACUUCGGGAAACCGGAGCUAAUACCGGAUAAUAUCUUGAACCGCAUGGUUCAAAAGUGAAAGACGGUCUUGCUGUCACUUAUAGAUGGAUCCGCGCUGCAUUAGCUAGUUGGUAAGGUAACGGCUUACCAAGGCAACGAUGCAUAGCCGACCUGAGAGGGUGAUCUGCCACACUGGAACUGAGACACGGUCCAGACUCCUACGGGAGGCAGCAGUAGGGAAUCUUCCGCAAUGGGCGAAAGCCUGACGGAGCAACGCCGCGUGAGUGAUGAAGGUCUUCGGAUCGUAAAACUCUGUUAUUAGGGAAGAACAUAUGUGUAAGUAACUGUGCACAUCUUGACGGUACCUAAUCAGAAAGCCACGGCUAACUACGUG
rnacentral:rRNA from 1 species